AAAGGUUUGGUCCUAGCCUUGAAAUCAAUUAUUAUUUAAUUUACACAUGCAAGUCUCCGCACCACAGUGAGAACGCCCUAACUUCCCCAUUAGGGAACAGGAGCUGGUAUCAGGCUCUUCUACUCAUGCCCAUUACACCUAGUCUCACCACACCCCCAAGGGUCCUCAGCAGUGAUAAACAUUGAGUAUAAGCGUCAGCUAGACUCAGUUAAACUAACUAGAGCCGGCCAAUCUGGUGCCAGCCGCCGCGGUUACACCACUGUGGCUCAAAUUGAUUUCCUUCGGCGUAAAGCGUGAUUAAAGUUCCCCAUACAAACAUCUGGAAUCCAACUCAAACUAAGCUGUGACACGCUUGUUACCUAUGAAGAUCAAAAACGAAAGUUAUUCCAACUUCAGCAACUUGAAUUCACGUCAACUGAGGAACAAACUGGGAUUAGAUACCCCAUUAUGCUCAGUCGUAAACUUUAAUUUACUCCACCAUCGCCCGGGAACUACGAGCUAAGCUUAAAACCCAAAGGACUUGACGGUACCCCAUAUCCCCCUAGAGGAGCCUGUCCUAUAACCGAUAAUCCCCGUUUAACCUCACCAUUUCUAGCUAAAACAGCCUGUAUACCUCCGUCGUCAGCUCACCGCGUGAGCGUCAGCGAGCCUAAUGUUAAUUCAACUACACGUCAGGUCAAGGUGCAACAUAUGUAAUGGGAAGAGAUGGGCUACACUCUCUAAUUUAGAAUAUACGAAAAACUACUUAUGAAAUCUAGUCAAAAGGUGGAUUUAGAAGUAAAACGGAACAAGAGAGUCCUUUUUAACAUGGCACUGGGGUGUGUACACACCGCCCGUCACCCUCUUCACCACUAAUUUAAAGUUAUUAACACACCAAAGUCGUACAGAAGAGGCAAGUCGUAACAUGGUAAGUAUACUGGAAAGUGUGCUUGGAAA
rnacentral:ncRNA from 1 species